UUUAUGGAUAAUUAUUGUAAAAAUAAAAUACGGCUAUUGUAAAAGCAAGAGCAAAAAACUUUAUCCUAGAGUAGGAAGAUUCCAGUUUAAAAAAUCUGAAAUUCCAUCACUCAGAGACAAAAGGCAACAAUUUAGUUUACCCCUUUAGUAGAUAGUGCUAGAGAACACUAUAUAUACGUAUAUACCAUUUUUAAGCUGAAUGAGAUGAUUCUGCUAACUCUCCAUCUAUGCAUGUUGCCUACUUUGAUUGACUUUUCCUGGCAAGAUACCUAGAAAAACUGUGAAACCGCCAAUUCACUAAAGCUUUCAAGGGAAUGCACUCUAAUAAUUUCAUAUUUAAGCAAAAUAACACUACUGGUAAAUAGUAUUAGUUAAUGUAGAGUAUUUAUUUGAUUCUUUUCAGAUUCGUAAAAGACAAAUUAGCAGCAACUAAAUUUUUAAUAUAUUCCAAGUGAAGAAAAUCUAUGCAAUCUAUAAAACAAAUGAGACG
rnacentral:lncRNA from 1 species